rnacentral:rRNA from 1 species
GUACACUCCUGCGGGAGGCAGCAGUGGGGAAUUUUGGACAAUGGGCGAAAGCCUGAUCCAGCCAUGCCGCGUGCAGGAUGAAGGCCUUCGGGUUGUAAACUGCUUUUGUACGGAACGAAACGGCCUUUUCUAAUAAAGAGGGCUAAUGACGGUACCGUAAGAAUAAGCACCGGCUAACUACGUGCCAGCAGCCGCGGUAAUACGUAGGGUGCAAGCGUUAAUCGGAAUUACUGGGCGUAAAGCGUGCGCAGGCGGUUAUGUAAGACAGUUGUGAAAUCCCCGGGCUCAACCUGGGAACUGCAUCUGUGACUGCAUAGCUAGAGUACGGUAGAGGGGGAUGGAAUUCCGCGUGUAGCAGUGAAAUGCGUAGAUAUGCGGAGGAACACCGAUGGCGAAGGCAAUCCCCUGGACCUGUACUGACGCUCAUGCACGAAAGCGUGGGGAGCAAACAGGAUUAGAUACCCUAGUAGUCCCAUGA